rnacentral:lncRNA from 1 species
CCGGGUAACCGGAGUGCCACAGCGGGCAGGCGUCAUAAGGACAGGCCUCGGAGAGGAGAGGGGCUACCCGAGAAUGGCCUCAAAACCGGUUUCUGCCCGCUACUCAGGAUUGUCUGCCGUGGUGGCUUCUCACACAAGCCUGUACUUUCCUGUGGGAGAAUAUUUCCUAGGAGCCUAUAUUCCAGUUCAUCUCUGACGUCAUAAAUCAUGACUGUGUAGAAAGGCCAUAACAUGUGACACAUGGCAGCCAUUUUGGAGAUGGCCAGAUGAGAGGACAAUCAAUCCACAUGCCUAAAUGGAACCAACAGACAUGUGCCAGCUUGCUUCUCCAGCCUAUGUUCUCAGACACUUGUAGAAGACCAGAGGGAAAAUGGAAUCAGAAAAAACAGCAACAACAACAAAAAGCCAUCCAGGGCCAUGCACAGUGGCUCACUCCUGUAAUCCCAACAGUUUGGGAGGCCAAGGCAGGUGGAUUGCUUGAGCUCAGCAGUUUAAGACCAGCCUGGGCAACAUGGCGAAACCCUUUCUCUACUAAAUACAAAAACUAGCUGGGUGUGGUGGCAUGCACCUGUAGUCCCAGCUACUCGGGAGGCUGAGGUGGGAGGAUCACCUGAGCCUGGGAGGUUGAAGCUGCAGUGAGCUGUGAUGGUGCCACUGCACUCCCACCUGGGUGACAGAGCAAGACCCUGUCUCAAAAAAACAAAACUAAACAAAAAAAUCCAUGUGGGAAAAGGCCCAAUCAGAGCCAACUCACUGCUGGGAUUAGUAGAAAUGAUUAGUCACCAGAAGGCAAAUCGUGGAAGAAUGAAGAGAUGACAGGACCUCAGGAACUACACCCAGAGGUGUAGUUGUGCCGUAGGCAAAGCAUCAUGCCGGUCAUCCCCAAGAAAGGGAGAAGGGGUAGAGCUCAGACUCUUCCCUGCUUCCCCAUAAGUCCAGUUUACCCUGGGCUGAUCCUUUCAGCAUGGCAGCCUCCGUGGGGAGGCACGAGAUCCAAAGAUGAAGAUGUCUAUGGGGGUGAAGAAGAAUGGCAAACUUUGCAGGCAAGAGUAGGCAUUAGAGAGAUCAGAGGAGGAAGACAAUAGAGAAGGAUGACACAGGACAGGCUGUAUCUAGAGGAUAUAAUGCCAUGGACUUUGGACUAUUCCAGAGAGGCUGAGAGACCUGUCUCCUGCCUACAAGGCUCCUUGAACUCUGCACCCUUCUUUUUGCUAAAGUGCUGCUGAGGCCUGUCUCACUUCCCAAUGAAAAGCAACUCAGGAAAUUGGCUUCCUGCCCCACUCCUUCUUUGGGAGAGAGAAACAGAACUGAAGAGGAAGGAAGGAAGCCCAAAGAAACAGAGGCUUUCUUUCCUGGCUGAGAUUUGUUGGCACUGCCCACUAACAUAGAGAAUAAGGUGGUUCCCUAAGCGAGCCUUAAGCUGGCAUGAGGCUACAAACAAGUGAUUGUAUCUUCGUUCUGCUCAGCAGCCUACCUGGGCUGGCCUGGACAACCUCAAUUGUAUACUGAGGUCUUAAGCUGGCCAUGGCCCUUGGUAAAGCAGGAGAAAGGAAUAAGGCUGGAAGGUACAGAAUUUGCUUGAUGCCUUGCCUACAUAAUUCCUUUGCUGUUGCAACUGGCAACUCUUUGCUUGCAUUAUAUGAAAAAAAGGCGGUAAAAAAUUGUCAGAAAUGUUUGCCACCAGCCUAACCCCACUGCCCAUGCAUUGCUCCCAAGAAAGCUAAUUAAGGCCCAUUGCUAUUAGAGUUACAUGAUUCUGAAGGCUUGUUAUGACAAGAAAAAAUAAUGAAGACAUGGUUCCUCCAAGUCAUAAGCAUCCAAGUCAAAACAUACUGCAUCCCAGGCGAGUGUGGUGGCUCACGCCUGUAAUCCCAGCACUUCGGGAGGCCAAGGCAGCCGGAUCACGAGGUCAGGAGUUCGAGACCAGCCUUGCCAAGAUGAUGAAACCCCGUCUCUACUAAAAAUACAAAAAUUAGCCAGGCAUGGUGGCGGGCGCCUGUACUCCCAGCUACUCAGGAAGCUGAGGCAGGAGAAUCGCUUGAAACCGGGAGGCGGAGGUUGCAAUGAGCCGAGAUCACACCACUGCACUGUACCCUGGGCGUCAGAGCAAGACUCCAUCUCAAAAAAAAAAGAAAAAAACAUCCUGCAUCCCUUGUUCCUUUGUGUUCCCCUAGACAAGCCUCUGGGCUGGCUUUGCCUAUCUCAUGCAUGCAGGCAGUCAUCCUCCUUUGGCCAGUGCAUACCUGACUCCUACUCAGUGCCAGGCCUGGAGAAGACUGUGAGACCUGCCCUUGAGGAGUUCUGUUUGCAGGAAGAGAGUGAUAGGCACACAAAUUAUUUCCAAUAAACUACAGAAAAUGUC